GACGAACGCUGGCGGCGUGCUUAACACAUGCAAGUCGAACGGAAAGGCCCUGCUUUUGUGGGGUGCUCGAGUGGCGAACGGGUGAGUAACACGUGAGUAACCUGCCCUUGACUUUGGGAUACUUCAUGAAACUGGGGCUAAUACCGGAUAGGAGCUCCUGCUGCAUGGUGGGGGUUGGAAAGUUUCGGCGGUUGGGGAUGGACUCGCGGCUUAUCAGCUUGUUGGUGGGGUAGUGGCUUACCAAGGCUUUGACGGGUAGCCGGCCUGAGAGGGUGACCGGCCACAUUGGGACUGAGAUACGGCCCAGACUCCUACGGGAGGCAGCAGUGGGGAAUAUUGCACAAUGGGCGGAAGCCUGAUGCAGCAACGCCGCGUGCGGGAUGACGGCCUUCGGGUUGUAAACCGCUUUCGCCUGUGACGAAGCGUGAGUGACGGUAAUGGGUAAAGAAGCACCGGCUAACUACGUG
rnacentral:rRNA from 1 species